rnacentral:rRNA from 1 species
UACGACUACAUAUCAGGCAUAUCAAUAAGCGGAGGAAAAGAAACUAACAAGGAUUCCCCUAGUAACGGCGAGUGAAGCGGGAAGAGCUCAAAUUUGAAAUCUUAAAGGUUUUCCCUUGACGAAUUGUAGUUUAAAGAAGUGUUUUCUGUUGAAGUUUCGGUAAAAGUUCUUUGGAAUAGGACAUCAUAGAGGGUGAGAAUCCCGUAUUUGACCGUUACUUUUCCAGCUGUGUGAUACACUUUCAAAGAGUCGGAUUGUUUGGGAAUGCAGUCCAAGAUGGGUGGUAAAUUUCAUCUAAAGCUAAAUAUUGGCGAGAGACCGAUAGCGAACAAGUACCGUGAGGGAAAGAUGAAAAGAACUUUGAAAAGAGAGUUAAACAGUACGUGAAAUUGUCAAAAGGGAAGCGUUUGACACCAGUGUUGUUUUCUCGAAAAUCAAUUGAAAAAUGGCUGGAUUUUGUGUUGUAUUGACUUUAUCAAGCUUUCUUCACUCUUUUCAUUGUCUUUUUUAAUGCACUUUUCGUUUAACAAGUCAACAUCAGUUUCUUUUGUUGUAAAAGGGUCAUUGGAAGGUGGCUUUCCUUUCGGAGAAAGUGUUUAUAGCCUUUGCCUCUGCAAUCGGAGAGAUUGAGGUCUGCAGCGUAGAUCCUUCUGGAUUAGAUACAUUUGUGCUAAGUUAUAACCGUUUCAUAGACAACUUGUUGACUAUGAUUCGAUCAUGUAGCUUACUCGCUUAUGCUAUUUUACCUACGCUUAGGAUGUUGAGCGCAUGUCUCUCUCU